rnacentral:lncRNA from 1 species
GAUAAAAAUAAAUUCUAUAAAAUUUAUAUUAAUAUGUUACAAUAGUGAUAAUAAUAGCUAACAGUUAUAUAGCACCAACCAUUUGCCAGACACUGUGCCAAGUAUUUUUCACAAAUAUCAUGUCAACUGAUCCUCACCAUAACUCUGUAAGAGAAAAAUACCAUCUUUAUAGACUGUCCACCAAAAUGAUGUCUGCCCUAUGUGUGAGAAAAUUAUCAGAGAGUCCUGGAAAGAUACAAUAACAGAGAAAACAGAGUUUAAUGUCAUCUGGUCAGAUACUAUGUAGAGGAAGGGGAGUAGAGGAGAAGGUUGGACAUUUUCCAAGAACAGAGGAGAAAUCCCAGGGUCUCCUCCUGUAUAUAUUAUAUUCAGGAUACCAUUACCAUAUUUGAAAACCAAAUGGGUUAUCUCCUGGACUCCUUGUCACUUCUCACGUUGGCCAAAGGCCAGGCAGUGCUGGAUUUGUACAGUGGACGUGUUCUGCAGAGCCCUAUUCUCUCUGUCCUCUGAUUUUGAGUACCUGGAUUUACCUCCUCACCACAAGAAAGCACUGGAGGAGAAAUGUAGUGGAAGACCAAAGAAUAUGCCUAAAUUUUUAAAGAAGUCAUUAUGGAAAAUAUAAUUCUGGACUUUAAGACCUUUUUAUACAGUGGUAGCUAUAAUAAGUACAGUGAGAAUUUUUAAAAAACUUAAUAUAUGAUAAUAGAUGUAAUACAACAACAAAAUAGACAAUUACUAUUAUUAGGAUGUUUAGAUAACUUUAGAAUUAA